rnacentral:rRNA from 1 species
GACGGAAGGUGCAAGCGUUGCUCGGAAUCACUGGGCGUAAAGGGUGCGUAGGCGGCCGUGCAAGUCUGGCGUGAAAGCCCCGGGCUCAGCCCGGGAAGUGCGCUCGAAACUGCGCGGCUCGAGUGCCGGAGGGGAGAGUGGAAUUCCUGGUGUAGCGGUGAAAUGCGUAGAUAUCAGGAGGAAUACCGGUGGCGAAAGCGACUCUCUGGGACGGUACUGACGCUGAGACGCGAAAGCGUGGGGAGCGAACGGG